GGGCGCAUGGCCUAGUUUGGAUAGGGCAAUGGCCUCCUAAGCCAUAGGUCAGGGGUUCAAAUCCCCUUGCGCCCG
rfam:Thermoplasmatales archaeon I-plasma AMDT3_IPLC00002, whole genome shotgun sequence.